rnacentral:rRNA from 1 species
UGAGGAACAUGACCUUCGGCGGGGGAGUAGCCGGCCCAACGGCCGGGUAAUACCGCGUACGACCUUUCGGGGACAUCCCCGGCUGGUGAAAGCAGCAAUGCACCGAAAGAGUGCCUCGCGGCCUAUCAGCUUGUUGGUGAGGUAAUAGCCCACCAAGGCGACGACGGGUAGCUGGUCCGAGAGGAUGACCAGCCACAUUGGGACUGAGGCACGGUCCAGACUCCUACGGGGAGGCAG